rnacentral:piRNA from 1 species
GGAAUAUACAGGUCUGAUUUUCCUUGCCUAA